GACGAACUUUGGCGGCGCGCCUAACACAUGCAAGUCGAACGAGCGAGAGAGAGCUUGCUUUCUCGAGCGAGUGGCGAACGGGUGAGUAACGCGUGAGGAACCUGCCUCAAAGAGGGGGACAACAGUUGGAAACGACUGCUAAUACCGCAUAAGCCCACGGCUCGGCAUCGAGCAGAGGGAAAAGGAGCAAUCCGCUUUGAGAUGGCCUCGCGUCCGAUUAGCUAGUUGGUGAGGUAAUGGCCCACCAAGGCGACGAUCGGUAGCCGGACUGAGAGGUUGAACGGCCACAUUGGGACUGAGACACGGCCCAGACUCCUACGGGAGGCAGCAGUGGAGAAUAUUGCACAGUGGGGGAAACCCUGAUGCAGCGACGCCGCGUGGAGGAAGAAGGUCUUCGGAUUGUAAACUCCUGUUGUUGGGGAAGAUAAUGACGGUACCCAACAAGGAAGUGACGGCUAACUACGUGCCAGCAGCCGCGGUAAAACGUAGGUCACAAGCGUUGUCCGGAAUUACUGGGUGUAAAGGGAGCGCAGGCGGGAAGACAAGUUGGAAGUGAAAUCUAUGGGCUCAACCCAUAAACUGCUUUCAAAACUGUUUUUCUUGAGUAGUGCAGAGGUAGGCGGAAUUCCCGGUGUAGCGGUGGAAUGCGUAGAUAUCGGGAGGAACACCAGUGGCUCUGGCGGCCUACUGGGCACCAACUGACGCUGAGGCUCGAAAGUGUGGGUAGCAAACAGGAUUAGAUACCCGGUUAGUCCACACCGUAAACGAUGAUUACUAGGGGUUGGAGGAUUGACCCUUUCAGUCCCGCAGUUAACACAAUAAGUAAUCCACCUGGGGAGUACGACGCCAAGGUUGAAACUCAAAGGAAUUGACGGGGGCCCGCACAAGCAGUGGAGUAUGUGGUUUAAUUCGACGCAACGCGAAGAACCUUACCAAGUCUUGACAUCCCUUGACAGACAUAGAAAUAUGUUUUCUCUUCGGAGCAAGGAGACAGGUGGUGCAUGGUUGUCGUCAGCUCGUGUCGUGAGAUGUUGGGUUAAGUCCCGCAACGAGCGCAACCCUUAUGGUCAGUUACUACGCAAGAGGACUCUGGCCAGACUGCCGUUGACAAAACGGAGGAAGGUGGGGAUGACGUCAAAUCAUCAUGCCCUUUAUGACUUGGGCUACACACGUACUACAAUGGCGUUAAACAAAGAGAAGCAAGACCGCGAGGUGGAGCAAAACUCAGAAACAACGUCCCAGUUCGGACUGCAGGCUGCAACUCGCCUGCACGAAGUCGGAAUUGCUAGUAAUCGUGGAUCAGCAUGCCACGGUGAAUACGUUCCCGGGCCUUGCACUCACCGCCGUC
rnacentral:rRNA from 1 species